UACGGAGGGGGCUAGCGUUGUUCGGAAUUACUGGGCGUAAAGCGCACGUAGGCGGCCUUGUAAGUUAGAGGUGAAAGCCCGGAGCUCAACUCCGGAAUUGCCUUUAAGACUGCAUCGCUUGAAUCCAGGAGAGGUGAGUGGAAUUCCGAGUGUAGGGGUGAAAUUCGUAGAUAUUCGGAAGAACACCAGUGGCGAAGGCGGCUCACUGGACUGGUAUUGACGCUGAGGUGCGAAAGCGUGGGGAGCAAACAGG
rnacentral:rRNA from 1 species